AGAAACGAAAAUUUCGAACAGAAUCAUUUAGCAUUAAAUAAACAUGAUGAAUAAAAAAACCGGGCAUAUUUUUUUGGGGCGGGGUUUUGCAUGUGUGACUGGAAUGUCAACUUGUUUCGCCGAACUGAUAUAUUUAAUACCUUUUUUCAAGACCAUACUGCAAGCAGCUGCUCAGUGGCCGGGUUGUGGCCUUUAUGUCUCCAUUUGUCGAUCGUCAUUCAUAAACUCGUUGUCAUUUUAGACUUAUUCGUAGCCUUUGGUUAAUUUGGAACCCCUCACUUCCCUUAAUUUUGUUGGUUGAAACAUUUGGAUAAAAAUUGCUUGUUUGUCUUUCUUAAAUCGUGUCGGUCUUGUUGUAAAUUUCAUCGAAAAGCCCGGCGUAUAUCUGGUUUACAACAAGAAAUCUGUGAGGUUAUUCUAACUUAACAUACAACAAACGAGAGUUUUCCAUGUCUAUUUUUUACUGACAAUUCCCACAUGUAAUUAUAUAUCAGUACAUAGCUUUGGUUCCAUACUAUCAUUUUAUGAAAGACAAUUAAUAGGGAGAAUACAGCAUAAAAAUUUAAAAUGUCCAACCCUUACACUUUACACCAACUUUAAAAUAUACAUGCCCAAAUAGGGAACCAUUAAAAAUAUGCAUUUUACACUUAUUUUAUGUUUUUUAGCCCCAAAAAGUCCCAUUUUUCUUCAAAAAAUCUUUAAAAAACUUCGCUCCACCCCCUUUCUAAAAUUCUGGAUCCGCCCCUGCCUGUGACCGUGUCCAACAGUUGUCAGUGAAUUAGAAAUUUUACUAUAAAUCUGACACAAGUUCAGUUAAGAAUCUGUGACAAUUUGGAUUUUCCUUGUAAUAUUCUUAGGAAAUGUCCUAUAAAUAUAAAAAAAGAAGAUGUGGUAUGAUUGCUAAUGAGACAACUAUCCACAAGAGACCAAAA
rnacentral:lncRNA from 1 species